CGAUAGGGUGGCUGAGUUUAGGUUGAAAAUUGUAAAUUUUUAUAGGGUAAUUUAUCUCCUAUCGG
rnacentral:tRNA from 1 species